rnacentral:tRNA from 1 species
AAGGUUUUAAGUUAAGCUAAACUAAUAAUCUUCAAAAUUAUUUAUAAAAAUUCAUUUUUUAAGCCUUA